ACUGAAUUAAUUGAAUGAGAAAUAUAUCUCUAAUGAAAUUCAAGGAAAUAAAUGUUUCAGCAAACAUUGUCACCAUUCCAUCUCGAACAGAGGAGAAUGUUUAUGAGUAGCACAUGCUCAUUAGAAAAUCAUCAUGAAAAUCAAGUUCCCUUAAAAGAUCAUCAGAGAAUUUAAUACUCCUUCAGCAGUUACAUCCUUACAUUCUGUUGUAUCAAGGAAGGAGUUGUGUCUGGUCUCCCAUCCUAACCACUUCAUCUCCAGGUUUGACGACUAUUUUUAUGUCGGGAUUCACUAUUCCAAUGUCAUAUCAGAAAAGGCAAGAACUUUUACCUUCUGAAAGGUUUACUUUUUUUUUGCCUUUUGAAGCAUUAAAAGAGCUGCCUGAAAUUUUUUAAGCAUUGCCUUUUUGCCUUCAAAAAAAGCAUUAGUAUAUGAAAAAGAAUUUUGA